GUCGGUGGCAAGCGUUGUCCGGAAUUAUUGGGCGUAAAGCGCGCGCAGGCGGUUCUUUAAGUCUGAUGUGAAAGCCCACGGCUCAACCGUGGAGGGUCAUUGGAAACUGGAGAACUUGAGUACAGAAGAGGAAAGCGGAAUUCCACGUGUAGCGGUGAAAUGCGUAGAGAUGUGGAGGAACACCAGUGGCGAAGGCGGCUUUCUGGUCUGUAACUGACGCUGAGGCGCGAAAGCGUGGGGAGCAAACAGGGAUUAGAUACCCUGGUAGUCCACGCCGUAAACGAUGAGUGCUAAGUGUUAGGGGGUUUCCCGCCCCUUAGUGCUGCAGCUAACGCAUUAAGCACUCCGCCUGGGGAGUACGGCCGCAAGGCUG
rnacentral:rRNA from 1 species